rnacentral:rRNA from 1 species
UACGAAGGGGGCUAGCGUUGUUCGGAAUUACUGGGCGUAAAGCGCGUGUAGGCGGGUCUUUAAGUCGGGGGUGAAAGCCUGUGGCUCAACCACAGAAUGGCCUUCGAUACUGGGACGCUUGAGUAUGGUAGAGGUUGGUGGAACUGCGAGUGUAGAGGUGAAAUUCGUAGAUAUUCGCAAGAACACCGGUGGCGAAGGCGGCCAACUGGACCAUUACUGACGCUGAGGCGCGAAAGCGUGGGGAGCAAACAGG